GGUGGCUGGGCAUGGUGCCACAUGCCUGGAAACUUUAGCACUCAAGAAUCUGAGGCAGGAGGACCAUAAUUUCUCAGGCCGGGUCAGCCUGAGCUAUAAUGAAGACCUGGCUCAAGAAAAAAAAAAAAAAAAAAAGAAAGAAAAAGAAAAGCUUUAGGUUUGGAAGGAUUGGCGUGGAGGGCUGUGCUUGGCAGGGUCACACAGGCUCCAGACAACAAGGCUGUUGUUCCCUGGUUGUAAACGCUUCCUGGCAGUUCUCCUAGAUGCUGCUUUGUGGGUUUGCACUUUUCAGCAGAGCAAAAUGAGCAGGAGCCAGCAUGCUGGGUCUCAGCCGAGGGCUGCCACAAAGGGUCUCAGUUUUCAUCACCACCUGGAGCACACAAGCCAGAGCUGAGGUGGAGGAGGCGGCUGCCACCGAGCUUACAAGAGCCUGCUUCGACAGGAUGGUGGCCUGCACAGGUGCGCGCUGAAUUUGCCCCAGAGGAAUCUGAUAAAGACAUUAUCUUCCAUUGUACCCCAGAGGCUGGCAUCUAACUUGCGGACAUCUUCCUGCUAACAUUGCAGGCAUAAGCCACUGGCAUGAGGCUUAAGGUACCAGUUUUCAGAAAGAAUCAUCAAUCUUAUACUUUGUUCGUCUAAGCCGUGUGUUGGGACUUUGUUACUCAGACUAUAAAGAGAAAAACAACUGUAUCACUAAUUCCAUUUGCUCUGUUAAUGUAACAAAACCCAGAUUCCUGAAUAAAUGGCCUCAAGAAGUGCAGAGAACAGUGUCACAGAGUGUUGGAUGUGUUUUGCAAGGGCUUCUUUUGAACAGCUAUAUGCAGAAAUGGCUACAGACUGAACAGCACAUGGUCUUGGUAAUUCUCGUGAGUCUGAACUGGAGGAGUUAAACCUAAACAAGAGUGGCCAUGAGUUAGUUUAUUUUUGUGUAUGUGUUUGUUUUUCCUGAGACAGGGUCUUGCUAUGUCUUCUGACUGUCCCAUCUUGGCCUCCUAAAGGGAAGAUGUGGUGUGUGGUUUGUAUUAACAAUUAUGGAAGCGUAGGAAUGGCUAUAGAAUAGGAUCCGUUAUAUCGCUCUCUCUAGUUUUGUACAUGCUUGAAAUUUUUCAUAAAAAUAUAAAACAAAGCCUUCUAAACCAGGGGCCAGCAAGUCGACUCAGGGGUCAUCUUGGUAAGGCACUUGCUGCCAAACCCGAUGGCCUGAGCAUCAUCCUUGGGACCAUAUAGAAGGAGAAAGGCAGCUCCUGGAAGUUGUCCUCUGACCUCCACAGGCACAAAGCCCUAGCAAUGAACAAACAAAAAUGUAGUACAAAGAAGAUUAAAGAAAACAAAUCUGGAAGAGGCUGGAGAGAUGGCUGUGUGGUUUAGAGCACUGGCUGCUCUUCUAGAGGACCCAGGUUUGGUCCCAGCACCCUCAUGAUGAGUGGCAAACAUCUGUAACUCCAGGUCCAGAGGAUCCAACACCAUCUUUCGGACUCUGUGGGCAAUGCAUGCACGUAGUGCAAAGACACACAUGCAGACAGGACACCCGGACACAUCACACAAAAAUACAUCUUGAAAGGACGGUGGUGUGUGUCUGCAGUCCUGGUUACUUUGGAGGCGAAGCAGGGAGAACAUUUGCGCCCAGGCCUUCAAAGCUAUCCUAGCAAGCAUAGCAAGAAACAAUGUUUAAAAGUGCAGCACCAGGACGAGGCAUUUAAGACUUCUUUGUUGUUGUUGUUGUUGUUGUUGUUUUAACCUAAUGACUUACAGUAUGAACCAGGCAUGGUGGCACACACCUGAAGUCCAGGAACCUGGGAGGUGGAAGCACUAGGAUCAGGAGUUCAAGGGCCAUCUGGGCUACCUAGUGAGGUUGAAGGUAGGCUGGGAUAUGAGAUUAUCUCAAAAAAGCAAAACAAACAAAAAUAAUUCAUGGAGUGGCUAAAAAUCAUGUUAAUGAGACUAACAGACUACUUACCAGUAAUUGCCCCAUUCGAUCAUUGUUCCUGGCUGAAAUGGAAUUUAGAUUUUGGUUAGCUGUAUGAAAAAACGGAAUAGGAGCAAAACUGUGACUCUUUGCUGCAUUCCUAAGCCAUCACUUAGUAUUUUAUGGUGUUAUAUGAGAAGACAACCUAACAUAACGGAAGUCACCACGAAUGGUGAUAAUGGUGAUAAAACCAUUGUUAGUCUAUCCUUUGAUGCACCAAACACCUCUUUCCAUUUUUCCAUGAUCAUUAGACCUUUAAAUUUUUUAAUUUAUUUUUAUGUACAUUUGGUGUUUGUGUGAGGGAGUCGGAUCCACUAGAAUUAGAGUUACAGACAGUUGUGAGCUGCCAUGCGGGUGCUGGGAAUUGAGCCGGGGUCCUCUGGGAGAGCAGACAAUGCUCUUAACUGCUGAGCCAUCUCUCCAGCCCCCAUUAGACCACCUUUUAAUGCUGCUGCACUGGAGGCUGGGGAGGAUGAAGGAUGUGUAUAGAAUGAAGUGGUUAGUGGCUACCAUUAGCCACGUGUUCUACUGCAAGUACAACUGGAGGGCAUCAGUAAAAAUGAGGCUAUCUCUAGGUCAUUCUUUUUAGUAUACGGAAAGGACACACUUAGAAAGCUGUAAUGCACUCACUCUCAUUCUUAUUUUUUUUUUCUAGUUCUUUUUGUUGCUGUCUUUUGAGACAGGAUUUUUCUAUGUAGCCUUGGCUCUCCUGAAACUUGCUACAUAGCCCAGGGUGGCUUUGGACCAUGGAGAUCUGCCUGUCUUUGCACCCUAAGUGCUGGAAUUAAAGGCAAGUGCCACCGUGCCUGGCUCACUUUCAUUCUCACUCAUAUGGAGCUGUAUGAUUUGCGCAACCCUCGGUGUUUAUUAGGCACUCUUGGUUCAGCAGGUGUAGCUGCUAUACAGUGUGCCUGGUUCUGCACUUGAGGGCUUUCCUCUGAAAAACAAAAUGCUUUCUUGGGCUGGAGAUGGAAUGGGGCUCAGUUAAUAGAGUGUUUGCCUGGCACGCAUAAAGCUCUGGGUUUGAUCCUCAGCAUUGUACAUACAGGGUGUGGUAGCGCACACCAGUGAUCUCAGUGUUCAGGAGGUGAGAGCAGAGGGAUCACAGUUGAGGGCUAUCUCUGGCUAUGUACAGCUUGCAAGCAGCCUCAAAAAAAUAUUUGUAAAAACAUCAAGUAAUAAACAUUAUACAGAAUGCAAUAAAUACAAAAGGACUUAGCAGAAGAGAAGGGAUGAGAAAGAAAAAAAUAAAUCUAGUCAAGAAAGACUAGAUGGGAGAAAAGAAGUCAAAUCAAAAUAUAAGCCGCCAGGUGGUGGAUGUCUGUAAUCCCAGCACUCAGAAGACUACAGCAGAAGGAGCUAAAAUUCAAUGGGAGAACUAUAGAAUAGCCCUGUUUCCAAUUACAGCCAACACCCCCGAAAAACAAAUGUAAGAGGCUAAACACACAUAACAAAAUGCUCACUUCUGCUUUACUGCCUACAUCAGGGAGCAGCAUGAGGGCAGCUGGCCUGCGUUUGCUACUUACUCGGAGUUUGUAAGACCUGAGUUCAUAUAUAUUGGGUCCUGAUCUCGGCGCCGGCUCAUUCCAAAAACUGAACUCCAACAGCAACUGAUUCUUCCUGGAGAGAAGCAUGUCACUUCUGGCCUUACGGAAAUUUAUAAAUUCCUUUGGGUGAAAAAAAUUACACUCAUGAAAUCUGCAGACACUUGCAUAUAAUAUUAGUGACAACUACAUUCCACAAGAUAUGGUUAUAAAUAAGACCAUCUUAGGUGUGUGUCUCUGUGUAGCAUUGGCUGUCCUGGAAAUCACUCUGUAGACCAGGCUGGCUUUCAACUCAGAGCUCUGCCUGCCUCUGCCUUCCGGGUGCUGGGAUUACAGGUGUGCACCACCAGGCCCAGUUUACAUCUUAGUUUUUAUCCAUUGGAUUGGAAUAAUGAAUUCAGCAUCCCCCCUCACUCCCUAAUGUAGCCAGGGUUUUUGUUUGUCUGUCUUUAUAAAGAUUUGUUUAUUUUAUUUCAUGGGUGUGAAAAUUUUGCCUGCAUAGAUAUAUAUGUGCACCAGGCAUGUGCCUGGCACCCAUGGAGCUCAGAAGGCAUCAGAUCCCUUGGAACUGGAGUCACAGAUGGUUGUGAGCUGCCAUGUGGGUGUGAGAAUCAAACCUCGGUCUUCAGCAAGAGAAACAAGUCCUUUAAAACCCUAGCCAGGGUUUGACUCCAGCACCACAUAAACUAGGUGUAGGGGUGAGCACCUAUGAUCCCAGCAUUUGAGCAGCAGGAGAAUCAGGAGCUCAAGGCUGUUGUAAGCUGCUUAAACUCUAUAGCCCCUCUAUUGAGACCUACUUUAGUUCUCGGCAUAACUAUGGCUCCUCUGUUUACACCUGAUGCAGCCUCUAGACUAUCAGAAGCCAUUUUGCCUCCAAGUCUCCAUUUUGAUUAUGUCUCUAUGGUUUCAUUUCUCAAUAUUUGUAUACUUUGUUACCUGGAUACUCCAAGGAAGUUCCCCAACUGCAGAACCAAUCAAAUUAAAGGUCAGUUAGAAACGCUUGUCUAGCUAGUCAACGCUUGUCUAGCUAGUCAAAAUGAUGUAAUGUUGCUUCCUAUACUUGAUACCUGGUUGUUACCUAGAUGCGGCUUGUUUCCUACACCUGGUUACAGUGUUGUUACCCGGUUGCUACUUGGUUACAGUUUUUCUUAAAAAAACCUGCUUUAGGAGUAGGCUAAUGUCACAGUCUGACUCCCCAGAUCAGACUGUGCCCCUGGCCAGUCAAGCAGAUUGUGUCCUGUUUAGCGUUCAAUAAACCACUGUUGAUUUGAGCCUGGUGUCUGAGUGGUCGGUGAGGGGGUAUUCCUGAACCCAUAACAAAGGCCAUUUCUGGGCACAUGAGAAGUUUGAGGCUAGCCUAAGCUAUAUGAGACUCUGUCUCAAACAAACAAAAAUUUAAAAAGAAAACAAACACACAAAAUAUAAGUAUGGGGCUGAGUUUCCAGCUGCAGUCCAGGGCUGUGUCCAGAGCUUAGCCAGUGUUAAAGCGCUGUCAGUUUCAGUGUGCUAUCACAGAGGAACUGGGAUUUUGAUGGUAUUAAAACUGGUAAUUUUGGUCUGGAGAGAUGGCUCAGAGGUUAAGAGCACUGGUUCCUCUUCCAGAGGUCCUGAGUUCAAUUCCCAGCAACCACAUAGUGGCUCACAACCAUCUAUAAUGAGAUCUGGUACCCUCUUCUGGCCUAUAGACAUACAUUGCACACAUAAUAAAUAAACAAAUAUUUUUUAAAAA